CACAUACCUUACACUUUUAUAAUUAAGAAUGCAUUCGUUUCGUGAAAAAUAAAUAAUUUGAAAAAUAUUUUCUUAAAAAUAUUAUUUGUACAAUGGGGUACUGAAAAGAGUGGGAGUCCUGUCGUAUACGAACCUUGUCGCACUAUGAGGUCCUAAGUUGGGUUGUUUGAGAAUGUAGCCCUAAUCAAGCACUAAAUUUUGUACAAAGCUAAACAUGAGAGAACUAUAGCAAGCAAGUACCGUGAGAAAAAAGAUGAAAUAGACUUUGAAAAUAAAGUCAAAGAGUGCUUGAAAUUAUUAAGAGGAAAGCGAAUGAGGGCUGACAAUGCACCUCAUUUGGAUGUGGAAUGGUGAUGAGCCGGUCUGCCAAUUUUAUUUUAUUUUUGUCAGAAGAUGGUUGAUAUUCAUCACUAGCCCGUAAAAUGGGCACCAUAAGCUGGUAUAUCUAGACAUAAUAUUGAAAGCAAAAGCAUAGGUGGAUAAUUAACCCAAUUACUAGGAAGGGUGUUUGAUCGAUGUGCACGUGUGACCCAAUCCGCUGCCAUAUUGGUCUUCCUGGGCUCAUAUUGAAUAGAGA
rnacentral:ncRNA from 1 species